AACGAACGCUGGCGGCAGGUCUUAGGCAUGCAAGUCGAACGGGUGUAGUAAUACACCAGUGGCGAACGAGUGAGUAACGCGUGGGAAUCUGCCCAUCUCUGGGGAAUAACGUUUGGAAACGAACGCUAAUACCGCAUACGCCCGCAAGGGGAAAGAUUUAUCGGAGAUGGAUGAGCCCGCGUUGGAUUAGUUAGUUGGUGGGGUAACGGCCUACCAAGGCGACGAUCUGUAGCUGGUCUGAGAGGACGAUCAGCCACACUGGAACUGAGACACGGUCCAGACUCCUACGGGAGGCAGCAGUGGGGAAUCUUGCGCAAUGGGCGAAAGCCUGACGCAGCAAUGCCGCGUGAGGGAAGACGGCCUUAGGGUUGUAAACCUCUUUCAGCAGGGACGAACACAGACGGUACCUGCAGAAGAAGCCCCGGCUAACUACGUGCCAGCAGCCGCAGUAA
rnacentral:rRNA from 1 species